AUACAAACUCAAUCGUAGUAUAAGACAGUGACAAUGAGAAGAUUUAAUUAA
rnacentral:misc_RNA from 1 species